AGAGUUUGAUCCUGGCUUAGGAUGAACGCUGGCGGCGUGCUUAACACAUGCAAGUCGAACGAAGCAACUAUCGUUGCUUGCAAGAGAGUUGACUUAGUGGCGGACGGGUGAGUAACGCGUGGGUAACCUGCCUCAUACAGGGGGAUAACAGUUGGAAACGACUGCUAAGACCGCAGUAACCCGCUAGUGUCGCAUGACACGGACGGAAAAUAUUUAUAGGUAUGAGAUGGGCCCGCGUCUGAUUAGCUAGUUGGUAAGGUAACGGCUUACCAAGGCGACGAUCAGUAGCCGACUUGAGAGAGUGAUCGGCCACAUUGGGACUGAGACACGGCCCAAACUCCUACGGGAGGCAGCAGUGGGGAAUAUUGGACAAUGGGGGAAACCCUGAUCCAGCGAACCGCCGCGUGAGUGAAGAAGUAUUUCGGUAUGUAAAGCUCUAUCAGCAGGGAAGAUAAUGACAGUACCUGACUAAGAAGCCCCGGCUAACUACGUGCCAGCCGCUGC
rnacentral:rRNA from 1 species